rnacentral:rRNA from 1 species
GGGCCCGCACAAGCAGUGGAGUAUGUGGUUUAAUUCGACGCAACGCGAAGAACCUUACCAGGGCUUGACAUAUAGAGGAAUAAGUUAGAGAUAGCUUAGCUCUUCGGAGUCUCUAUACAGGUGGUGCAUGGUUGUCGUCAGCUCGUGUCGUGAGAUGUUGGGUUAAGUCCCGCAACGAGCGCAACCCCUGUUCUUAGUUGCCAGCACGUUAAGGUGGGAACUCUAAGAAGACUGCCGGUGAUAAAUCGGAGGAAGGUGGGGACGACGUCAAAUCAUCAUGCCCUUUAUGUCCUGGGCUACACACGUACUACAAUGGCUAUAACAAAGGGAAGCGAAGCCGCGAGGUGAAGCAAAACCCAAAAAAGUAGUCUCAGUUCGGAUUGAAGGCUGAAAUUCGCCUUCAUGAAGCCGGAAUUGCUAGUAAUGGCAGGUCAGCAUACUGCCGUGAAUACGUUCCCGGGCCUU